rnacentral:rRNA from 1 species
AUUGAACGCUGGCGGCAUGCCUUACACAUGCAAGUCGAACGGCAGCACGGGAGCAAUCCUGGUGGCGAGUGGCGAACGGGUGAGUAAUAUAUCGGAACGUGCCCAGUCGUGGGGGAUAACGCAGCGAAAGCUGUGCUAAUACCGCAUACGAUCUACGGAUGAAAGCGGGGGAUCGCAAGACCUCGCGCGAUUGGAGCGGCCGAUAUCAGAUUAGCUAGUUGGUGGGGUAAAAGCCCACCAAGGCGACGAUCUGUAGCUGGUCUGAGAGGACGACCAGCCACACUGGAACUGAGACACGGUCCAGACUCCUACGGGAGGCAGCAGUGGGGGAUUUUGGACAAUGGGCGCAAGCCUGAUCCAGCAAUGCCGCGUGCAGGAUGAAGGCCUUCGGGUUGGUAAACUGCUUUGUUACGGAACGAAACGGUUACUUUCUAAUAAAGAGGGCUAAUGACGGUACCGUAAGAAUAAGCACCGGCGUAACUAACGUGCCAGCAGCCG